rnacentral:rRNA from 1 species
CCUACGGGGGGCAGCAGUGAGGAAUAUUGGUCAAUGGGCGCAAGCCUGAACCAGCCAAGUCGCGUGAGGGAUGACGGUCCUAUGGAUUGUAAACCUCUUUUGUCGGGGAGCAAGGCCCGCCACGUGUGGCCGGAAGGAGAGUACCCGAAGAAAAAGCAUCGGCUAACUCCGUGCCAGCAGCCGCGGUAAUACGGAGGAUGCGAGCGUUAUCCGGAUUUAUUGGGUUUAAAGGGUGCGUAGGCGGAAGGUUAAGUCAGCGGUAAAAUGUCGGUACUCAACACCGGUCUGCCGUUGAAACUGGUCUUCUUGAGUGGACGAGAAGUAUGCGACAUGCGUGGUGUAGCGGUGAAAUGCCUAGAUAUCAC